rnacentral:rRNA from 1 species
UACGUAGGGUGCAAGCGUUGUCCGGAAUUAUUGGGCGUAAAGAGCUCGUAGGCGGUUUGUCGCGUCUGCUGUGAAAACUCGGGGCUUAACUCCGGGCCUGCAGUGGGUACGGGCAGACUAGAGUGCGGUAGGGGAGAUUGGAAUUCCUGGUGUAGCGGUGGAAUGCGCAGAUAUCAGGAGGAACACCAAUGGCGAAGGCAGAUCUCUGGGCCGUAACUGACGCUGGAGACGCGAAAGCGUGGGGAGCAAACAGG